rnacentral:rRNA from 1 species
UAAGGAAUAUUGGUCAAUGGGCGCAAGCCUGAACCAGCCAUGCCGCGUGCAGGAAGACGGCCCUAUGGGUUGUAAACUGCUUUUGUCAGGGAAUAAACCCCCGCUCGUGAGCGGGGCUGAAGGUACCUGAAGAAUAAGCAUCGGCUAACUCCGUGCCAGCAGCCGCGGUAAUACGGAGGAUGCAAGCGUUAUCCGGAUUCAUUGGGUUUAAAGGGUGCGCAGGCGGAUUGGUAAGUCAGGGGUGAAAUCCCACAGCUCAACUGUGGAACUGCCUUUGAUACUGUCAGUCUAGAGUAUAGUUGAAGUUGGCGGAAUGUGUCAUGUAGCGGUGAAAUGCUUAGAUAUGACACAGAACACCGAUCGCGAAGGCAGCUAGCUAAGCUAUAACUGACGCUCAUGCAC